UCUUCGGAGAGUUUGAUCCUGGCUCAGGAUGAACGCUGGCGGCGUGCCUAAUACAUGCAAGUCGAGCGAACUGAUUAGAAGCUUGCUUCUAUGAC
rnacentral:rRNA from 2 species